rnacentral:rRNA from 1 species
UACGUAGGGUGCGAGCGUUAAUCGGAAUUACUGGGCGUAAAGCGUGCGCAGGCGGUUUUGUAAGCCAGGUGUGAAAUCCCCGGGCUCAACCUGGGAAUGGCAUUUGGGACUGUAAGGCUGGAGUGCGGCAGAGGAGACUGGAAUUCCUGGUGUAGCAGUGAAAUGCGUAGAUAUCAGGAGGAAUACCGAUGGCGAAGGCAGGUCUCUGGGCCGAUACUGACGCUGAGGAGCGAAAGCGUGGGGAGCGAACAGG